rnacentral:rRNA from 1 species
AGGACGAACGCUGGCGGCGUGCUUAACACAUGCAAGUCGAGCGGUAAGGCCCUUUCGGGGGUACACGAGCGGCGAACGGGUGAGUAACACGUGGGUGACCUGCCCUUAGCUCUGGGAUAAGCCUGGGAAACUGGGUCUAAUACCGGAUAUGACCUCGCGAUGCAUGUCGUGGGGUGGAAAGCCUUGUGCGGCUAGGGAUGGGCCCGCGGCCUAUCAGCUUGUUGGUGGGGUGAUGGCCUACCAAGGCGACGACGGGUAGCCGGCCUGAGAGGGCGACCGGCCACACUGGGACUGAGACACGGCCCAGACUCCUACGGGAGGCAGCAGUGGGGAAUCUUGCGCAAUGGGCGAAAGCCUGACGCAGCGACGCCGCGUGAGGGAUGACGGCCUCGGUUGUAACCUCUUUCAGCCCUGACGAAGCGAAGUGACGGUAGGGCGAGAGAAGCACCGGCCACUACGUGCCAGCAGCCGCGGUAA